UACGAAGGGGACUAGCGUUGCUCGGAAUCACUGGGCGUAAAGCGCACGUAGGCGGAUUGUUAAGUCAGGGGUGAAAUCCUGGAGCUCAACUCCAGAACUGCCUUUGAUACUGGCGAUCUCGAGUCCGGGAGAGGUGAGUGGAACUGCGAGUGUAGAGGUGAAAUUCGUAGAUAUUCGCAAGAACACCAGUGGCGAAGGCGGCUCACUGGCCCGGUACUGACGCUGAGGUGCGAAAGCGUGGGGAGCAAACAGGG
rnacentral:rRNA from 1 species